UCAUUUAGAACUGGCAGACUAGAGUCUUGGAGAGGGGAGUGGAAUUCCAGGUGUAGCGGUGAAAUGCGUAGAGAUCUGGAGGAACAUCAAUGGCGAAGGCAACUCCCUGGCCAAAGACUGACGCUCAUGUGCGAAAGUGUGGGUAGCGAACAGGAUUAGAUACCCUGGUAGUCCACACCGUAAACGCUGUCUACUAGCUGUUUGUGAAUUUAAUUCGUGAGUAGCGAAGCUAACGCGAUAAGUAGACCGCCUGGGGAGUACGGCCGCAAGGUUAAAACUCAAAUGAAUUGACGGGGGCCCGCACAAGCGGUGGAGCAUGUGGUUUAAUUCGAUGCAACGCGAAGAACCUUACCUACUCUUGACAUACUAGAAACUUUUCAGAGAUGAAUUGGUGCCUUCGGGAAUCUAGAUACAGGUGCUGCAUGGCUGUCGUCAGCUCGUGUCCUGAGAUGUUGGGUUAAGUCCCGCAACGAGCGCAACCCUUGUCCUUAGUUGCCAGCCUUAAGUUGGGCACUCUAAGGAGACUGCCGGUGACAAACCGGAGGAAGGUGGGGACGACGUCAAGUCAUCAUGGCCCUUACGAGUAGGGCUACACACGUGCUACAAUGGCGAGUACAAAGGGAUGCGAACCUGCGAAGGUAAGCGGACCCCUUAAAGCUCGUCGUAGUCCGGAUUGGAGUCUGCAACUCGACUCCAUGAAGUCGGAAUCGCUAGUAAUCGUAGGUCAGCAUACUACGGUGAAUACGUUCCCGGGCCUUGUACACACCGCCCGUCACACCAUGGGAGUGGGAUGCAAAAGAAGUAGGUAGCUUC
rnacentral:rRNA from 1 species